UACGAGGGGAGCAAGCGUUGUUCGGAUUUACUGGGCGUAAAGGGCGCGUAGGCGGCCAGCACAAGUCAGUUGUGAAAUCUCCGGGCUUAACUCGGAAAGGUCAACUGAUACUGUGCGGCUAGAGUGCAGAAGGGGCAACUGGAAUUCUCGGUGUAGCGGUGAAAUGCGUAGAUAUCGAGAGGAACACCUGCGGCGAAGGCGGGUUGCUGGGCUGACACUGACGCUGAUGCGCGAAAGCCAGGGGAGCGAACGGG
rnacentral:rRNA from 1 species